ensembl:lncRNA
GGGUCUUUUCUUGAUUCUCUGAGCACGUGGCGCCACCUCAACUAUGAUCGGCAGAUGCACCCGGAGGACAGACUGCCACUCUGAGGACACCCAGGACCCAGGAGUUUAUAAUGUCAGACAGACUGCCAGAUCCGGACAGUGACCCAAAGUCUCCAAAGAAGAUUACGAGGCACCUCAGUUCCUGCACCUGGACCAGUGAGCGAGAUGCUCAGAUGUGAAACCUGCCGCCUGCCAGAACCUGGCCGAGACUGUGGACAAAGCUGCUGGACACUGGAAAAUUGAUUGCACCCCUUUGCCUAGACAAAACAAGGUCAGUCUUUUCCAUGUCCGUCUUCCACAGAGAGAAAAAAACUCUCACAGUAUAGGCCUGGCGAGGAUUGCUGGUCUUUGAGACACCUGCCUCCAGCGGUAAUGGAGAAACUUGGGUUUGGCUAACUGUAUAUGGACUUGCUUCUGACUGGCUUCUGUCACUUUUUAGUAGAUUUGGAUAAAGUAUACCCUUCUCAGAUCUCUGAAAUAUUACUGGUUGUCAGCUUGACAGCAUCAGGCAGUCAGAUCCACUAUAGACUAGUAAGUAUGUUAGCUGAUAAAAUAAUGACUAUCUACUGUUCAGGCACAAGCUCAAGGUUUUUAAGUUUAUUUUGGUUGUCAUCUAAGUACAAACUUAAAGGGCUUUUCAUCAGGCCAAAGGCACCUCUGUCCAAUCCAUACCUGGCUCUCUGGACAGAAGAAAAAUGUACAUGCUUAUAGCCCAAAUCUGUAGUUUUUGCUAAAUAUGUUCCUGCUGUUUAAACAGAUAUCCAAAUAUCUGCUUUUUCUGUACUGUGGGCUUCAGUAAAUAAGUUUUAACCUCUGUUCCUAGUUUAAACAUGUCUUAAACAGGUUUCUGCUUCUGGCUGACAUCUGAGUAUCAGUUGCUGACUACAGGCUGUUCUAAGUAGACUGCGAGCCCUGGACUUGCUGUGGAUGUAAACCAGUCCAGCUGAUGUGGACACCCCCUGUCUCUGCAACAGUGUCUUCUAACCAGAAGCCCCUGAUGAAUUCCCCAUUGCCUAAAUUCCUUUUUGCUUUUGACUAGCAUUUCAACCUUCUGGGGUCCCUAACUUCGUCCCAAAGUCAGCAGGAAGCAGUUUGGAAAAGAAUUUCGCCGUCCAUUUUCCCUGGUUAAAAUGCUAAGUCAAAGGGAACUCCCUUACAUGGGGAUGCCAAUAUCUAUCACUCCCUAAUGGGGAUGCUAGAGAGACAGCAAUUCCAUGAUUGGAAUUUCCAAAAAAGAAAAUGGGGGAAUGAAGGAACCGGCUUCCCUUUUGGCAGCCAUAACAGCCGAACACGUGCUUGCCAUAAACCUACCUUGGUCACGUAGAGGUCAGAUGCCUGUCUCAUGACAAGGAACCCAUCAGAAGUUAGUCACUAGAAAGUCAGAUGCCUGUCUCGUGACAAGGAGCCAAUCGGAAGUUAGCUGGUGGCGCUAUGCUUUACGACCCUGGGUGUGCUUUACGGACAAGCGCACGACAAUGACGUAGAGAGCAUAGCAACCACCCUGGGAGGGCCUAUGAGCCAUAACAACCAGUUGACCAAUCA